rnacentral:rRNA from 1 species
AUUAGGAGCUUGCUCUUAUGAAGUUAGCGGCGGACGGGUGAGUAACACGUGGGUAACCUGCCCAUAAGACUGGGAUAACUCCGGGAAACCGGGGCUAAUACCGGAUAACAUUUUGAACCGCAUGGUUCGAAAUUGAAAGGCGGCUUCGGCUGUCACUUAUGGAUGGACCCGCGUCGCAUUAGCUAGUUGGUGAGGUAACGGCUCACCAAGGCAACGAUGCGUAGCCGACCUGAGAGGGUGAUCGGCCACACUGGGACUGAGACACGGCCCAGACUCCUACGGGAGGCAGCAGUAGGGAAUCUUCCGCAAUGGACGAAAGUCUGACGGAGCAACGCCGCGUGAGUGAUGAAGGCUUUCGGGUCGUAAAACUCUGUUGUUAGGGAAGAACAAGUGCUAGUUGAAUAAGCUGGCACCUUGACGGUACCUAACCAGAAAGCCACGGCUAACUACGUGCCAGCAGCCGCGGUAAUACGUAGGUGGCAAGCGUUAUCCGGAAUUAUUGGGCGUAAAGCGCGCGCAGGUGGUUUCUUAAGUCUGAUGUGAAAGCCCACGGCUCAAACCGUGGAGGGUCAUUGGAAACUGGGAGACUUUGAGUGCAGAAGAGGAAAAGUGGAAUUUCCAUGUGUAGCGGUGAAAUGCGUAGAGAUAUGGAGGAACACCAGUGGCUAAAGGCGACUUUCUGGUCU